CAACCAUCUGCUGGUGUACAUGAGGAGCUGGCUGCCAGUCACUCUUCACUUGAGUGAUAACCUAUGUGAUAACCUCCAGUUCUGAUAUUGAGAUCUUGAUCCGAGUACAUUCCUGGAUCUCAAGUCUCUACACCAGCUGCAAUUCAAAGAAAAACCUCCAGUCUUCAUUCCAUGACUAGCAAUCCAAGGCUCCUCAUUACCCAACCUCUCAGUGAAACCUGUCCGCCCCCCGACGCUCCCUUCUCCAAAAUAGCUGCUCUCUCCACCAUCUCCCUCUAGUCCUCCAAACAAGAUGACUUCAGACCAUGGGUCUGCUGACCUGUUUCCCCAGGAGGUUCCCGGAUCAAGACUACCUGCACAUAUUCAUAUUCAUGGUUUCUCAUUAAACUGUUUAAAACUUUCCUGUGGUUUUCUGAGAGCAUUCGUGGAUCUGGG